rnacentral:rRNA from 1 species
UACGUAGGGUGCGAGCGUUUGUCCGGAAUUACUGGGCGUAAAGAGCUCGUAGGUGGUUUGUCGCGUUGUUCGUGAAAACCGGGGGCUUAACCCCUCGGCGUGCGGGCGAUACGGGCAGACUUGAGUACUGCAGGGGAGACUGGAAUUCCUGGUGUAGCGGUGGAAUGCGCAGAUAUCAGGAGGAACACCGGUGGCGAAGGCGGGUCUCUGGGCAGUAACUGACGCUGAGGAGCGAAAGCGUGGGGAGCAAACAGG